AACAAGGUUUGGUUAUACCUACGGGGGCUAGACCUGUGGUGUCAUCAUCCAUACGGUUCUACCGUCUGGUAGUUGUAGCAAUAUUAUUAUCGUUAGUAGCUCACGCCUGACAUAAUAUUUUGAUAAAUCUAAUACAUUUUUAGAUUUAAAUAUGACUUUAAUAACUGAAUAAAUACUUUUCUUCUACAAAAAUAUAGAGAGACACUCUCGUUGAAUAUUGUUUUAGUAACGUAUGGGUAAGAUUUUCUAAACGAAGUGUGGCAACCCCAAUUACUUAAUAAAAAAUAAAUAUGUUAUAAAAUGAAAAUGGCGUCAUUUCACCAAAUAAAACACGAAUUCACGAAUAAUAAAAUAAAUGUUUGCCACGGCCUGUUAAUAUUUAUGAAGACCUCUUCAUGGAUUGGAUUUAAGCAACCUGCUGUGUAAUAUCCUCGCCAUUCUUGAUGUUGAGAAGAUCUAUAAGUCUUUUACGUUUCAUCUGAGUGUUGUGGUUUUUCAUUAUGUUAAAAAUAAGACUUUGUUAGUUCAAGUGUCUCUAUAACUAUGAAGAAGAACAAAAGAAAAUGCUUUGAGUGUGGUUCUUCGCCUGCCGAUGAUCCAGAGAAGACCCUACAGAGAUUACAGAAAUUUGAUUCUACAAAUUUAGUCUCCGUAAUGUCCAGAUAAUCAAUGAUUAGACUAUUGGACUUUUAGAAUAAAUUUUACAUUGAACUAUGAAUGGUUUGUCAUCUACAUUUUUAAAAAAGACGAGAUUUUGCCUGUAAGAACAAGAGAGAGAGAGAAUAAGAAGGUAAGUUAAACACCUACUGUAAAAUGCACACUGCUCCAAUGUGGGUUGAUAGGCUUGGGGUAAUAAAGUUAAAUUAUAAAAGGAUCACUAUCAGGUGUUAAUGAUAAUGACUGGGAUAUAUAGCAUAUCAUAGUCUCUGAGAUAUAAGGAUAUAACACCAGCAACAGCUCUCCAGUGAUGCAGUAGAUAGCAUCAUUGCUCUUUGCAUCUACACGCCACAGCCAGUUGUGGCAAUUGAACUCAUCAUAUUAGUGUGAUGAGCAUGGAUGUAUUUCAGUGUCUAUGUGGUUGUGGGUGUACGCCCAUGUUAAAUAACAAGUAAUGGCCAAAAUAUUAAGUAGAUGUUGAUCAAUAAUCUUCUCUAUCUUCCAGUAAAAGUCCCAUUAAAAUGACCCUGCUGUUCCAGAGAUUAGCUCAAACAAACAGACAGAUGAACAUUUUAAAGAAGUAUGACUGUAUGUCAGUAUUGUAUAUAGGCACUUGAGAAAACACAGUUAUUUUGAAAUCACAGACAUAAACUUAAAUUUUAUUUAUAUGUAUUGGUGCUGUUCAUAAAUAUAGCAUCAGCUGAAACAAACUAGGCAUAGUUAAGUUACAUUUUAUACAGGGUGCUCGGGACUAUUUCUCAUAAAUUCAAGGUGUUGACAAGUCCACUUAUAGGAGCUACCUUAGCUACUAGUUUAUAUUGAGGAGAACUUUCCACCUAGAUGGGUUGUGACUGUAUUAGGGGUCUGGUGAUGAAGACGUAGACGGUUAAGAGAACUCCUCAACGGUUCACAGUAGCUACCAUGUGUUGAUAAAUUAGUAUUGAUGAGAACUUUCCAACUAGAUGGGUUGUGACUGUAUGAGGGGUCUGGUAAUGAAGACGAAGGACGGUUAAGGGAACUUCUCGAUGGUUCACAGUAGUAAUUAGUUUGAUUCUAAGUCAGAGGCAAUCAAAUACAAUGUUUUAUCACGACUCAUAGCAACAUACCUUUGGCGCUAGAUCAAUAUCUAGGAUGAUUUCACUAAAAAUGGAAAAAUAAAAAUUUUUAAUUAAAGAAAUUCAACCAACUUCAAAAACAUAAAACAUACUGGCUAAACUAAAAAGCGAAAAAUAAUAUUAUACUAAGUUCAUAUCAUAUUAUGUUCUAACUGAUGAUCAGUUUGAAGGCUGUGCUAAACCGGUGUUGUUUUAAUUUAAGCUGUUACUGAAAGAACUACAUGAAAGAACACUGUCUGAAAAACCUAAAUAUUUAUGAUAUUCUUACAUGGCUUGAAUUAAUACAUCAUUGGGCUAGCACCACCUUCAAACUGAUCAUCAGUUAGAACAUAAUAUGAUAUAUAGAACUUAGUAUAAUGUUAUUUUUCGUUUUUUAGUUUAGUAAGUAUGUUUUUGAAGUCGGUUGACUUGUUUUUAUUAAAGUUUUUUAAUACACAUGUUCCUUAGACAUUUUAAAUUAAUUUUCCUUAUAGAACUUGGAGCUACCCUAGAGUUAUGGGAAAUACUCCCGAGCACCCUGUAGAUGCUACUUAAUCCUACUAAUCCUUCAUUCAUCAGUAUCGGUUGGUGGGCUUGGAGUUUAUAAAGAAUAUUAAGUAUAUAUAAUUUAUUUAUGAACAUUCCUCAUUCAGUUGAGCUUUUACUACCCAUAACACAAGCUAAGCUUACUUUGAGACUAGUUAGUGAUGUGUGUAAUGUGUUAUUAUAAAUAUUAACCAACUUUCUGCAGUUUGAGAAUACGCGGAUAAAAUAUAGCCUAUGAUACUCAGAAAUAACGUGGCUUUCUAGUGGUAAAGGAAUUUUCAAAAUUGGAUCCAGAGUUUACCUGCUAGAACACCACCAACUUUACCUCUUUAUAAUACAUACUAGCGGAAGCCCGCGACUUCGUCCGCGUAAAAAUCGAUGUCAACUUUCAACCCCUAUUUCACAUUCUAUUUUGCAAGUUUUAUAACUUAUACCUUGUAACUAAAAAAAUUAAGGACUUUCCGUACAAACUUUCUACCCCUACUUCACCCAAUUCUGAUUUUGUUUUCACGACAAAAAGUAUCCUAUUAUCCUUCUACGUAUUAUGGUCUCAAAUCGUCUUAAGUAUCGUUUGAAUUCCUUCUGUAGUAUCAGCGUGAUGCCCGGUCAAAAAAAAGGCAAACAGACAGACAAAAAAUAGAAAAUAUGAGCGUGGUGCGAUGACAAAGGAAAAUAGAGACUUCUAUGCUAAAAUUAUAAUCUUUGGAUCUACUGGACCGAUUUGAAAGAUUGUUUUAUCAAUAGAAAGCUACGUUAUUUGCGAGUGUCAUAGGCUAUGUUUGAUUCCCAUAUUCACACAGGAACGGGAACCACGUAAUGGAAAGCGCGGGGCGUCAUGUAGCGGACUUUCUGCGUCUUUGAGAAAUUUUGUAUUAUCUCCAAAACUAAUUAACAUACUAUAAAGGGCAAAUCUUAUCUCCAUAAUAUCCUUGUGAUUAUUAAAUAAUUUAUUUUGAUAAGGAUUUAAGUUAAGUAGCAUAAAUAAUGACGCAAACCUAAGUAUAUAAAAUUUAUAAUUUUCAAAACACAAAAGGUACUAUAUCUGCUAAUAUAUAGAAGAUAGAUAUAUGGUGUCGCGGACUUUUUUGUAGAACUUUUAAAGAUACAUAAAGCCUCCAUACAUUAAUUUCAAUUUUACACAAUGGUUAAGGCAGCGCAUGCGAAUAAGUCUGCUUAAGAGGAUUUUCGGUCCGACCUGUAUGACAAAAACUGUGUUAACUCGGCGAAUAUAUAUCAUGCUAAUAUAAAAUAUAGCCUAUAGCACUCCCCGAUAAUGUAGCAUUCUACUGGUGAAAGAAUUUUUGAAAUCGGACCAGUAGUUCCGAAAAUUACCCCAUUUAAAAAAUGUGACAAACUUACAAACUUUACCUCUUUAUAAUAUUAGUAUAGAUUAACAACCCAUUUUCGGCUCAUUGUUGAGCACGAGUCACUUCUCAGGACGAGAGGGGUUAGGCCUUAGUCCUCCAUGCUGGCCCAAUGCGGAUUGGCAGACUUCACACACCUAGACAAUUAAGAAAAUUCUCAUUUAUGCAGGUUUCUUCACAAUGUUAUGCUUCACCAUUUAAGACAUUUAAUUUAAAAAUGGGUUGAAUACAUAUCAGUAUAGAUUUUUAUUGUGAGUUUCUUGAAAGAAGGAAAUGCUCAAUAUUUCAUAGACCAACCCAGGACUCAAACUCAGAAUUUCAUGAUAGUUACACUGAACCAAUAAAGUAGUUAGAGAGAGAGAGAGAGAGAGAGAGAGAUAAAUAAAAAGAGUUUAUUAUGUAUUAAAAUUAAAAUAUAUACCUAAUGCUUUCAGCAAUCCUGCUUCUUCACAUGAAUUUUACCCACAUGACGACGGUUUUUAAUAUAAAAAAUAUUUACACAAUGUCUCAAAAAGCAAUCAAAGCUUUCAAAAAUAAACAAUGUUCGCAGAAGUUCAGUACCAACAAACUCACAAAAAAUGAGUUCAAAAUUUAGCAUUACUUGCAAGCCAGACUAAGAAAUUUCAAGAAGAUAAUUUAAAAGAAGACAAUAGAAUAAAAUAAUAUUAACACACAAUGCUUAGCAAAUAUAGCAUUAACAGAUGGAAACCAGGCAAUAGGUGUAGCAAAAUAGAAGAUGAAGGUCUAGCUGUGCCAGUCAGUGCUGAGCCACACAGUUGCUGCUGGCAUGUUUGCAAAAUAGCACAAGGU